CCAGCAGCCGCGGUAAUUCCAGCUCCAAUAGCGUAUAUUAAAGUUGUUGCAGUUAAAAAGCUCGUAGUUGGAUUUGUGGUGUGUCCUGCCGGUCUGAGGGCUUUGCCCUUGGUAACUGUGCGGGUCUGCCUUUUUUGGGUGGAACCUGUGUGGCAUUAGGUUGUCGUGCAGGGGAUGCCCAUCGUUUACUGUGAAAAAAUUAGAGUGUUCAAAGCAGGCUUAUGCCGUUGAAUAUAUUAGCAUGGAAUAAUGAUAUAGGACCUUGGUACUAUUUUGUUGGUUUGCGCACUGAGGUAAUGAUUAAUAGGGACAGUUGGGGGUAUUCGUAUUCCAUUGUCAGAGGUGAAAUUCUUGGAUUUUUGGAAGACGAACUACUGCGAAAGCAUUUACCAAGGAUGUUUUCAUUAAUCAAGAACGAAAGU
rnacentral:rRNA from 1 species